GGGGCUGUGGCUCAGUGGUUGAGCAUCUGCUUGCUAAGCAGAAGGCCCCGGGUUCAGUCCCCGGCAUCUCCA